AUAUACUCAAGCUCGAGAGGGAGUGUAAAAGCUCAAAAUGUAGCUAGUAGCCUGGUAGUUAAUAGUUAAUAACUUAGCAUUUAAAAUAAUAGUUGAGAAGCUUAACAUUUAUGACAAUAGUUAAUAAAUGUCUCUAUAUAUCCAAUUUUGGUUUCUCACGGUAUUCCCUAGUUCGACGAGUUAAAGACUAAUCCGUCGUAGAUCAAAGCUUUAUUUAAGACUGGCCAAUGAACUGCUGCAUACACAAGGUAAAAUUUGAACCCUCAACACUUGUUUAAGCGAACUAGUGAACUAACCACUAGACCAACUAACUUAUUUCUAUAUAUCUCUUGAAUGAGAUGAUCCCUUUUUGAAUGAGAUGAAAGCAAUAAAUUCUUUCUCCUAUUUUCUCUACAUUAUUAGUUGCCUAAAUAUAUUUAAACGAGUCCAUGAUUAUUCACACCUGAGGGGUGAUAUAAAGAACUAAGACAAGGAUCUUUGCACAAAAAAAAAAAGAACUUAGUCGAGGAUAAGUUGCGUUCAUAAAGAGACGCAUUUUUAAAAACAAAUGUACUACACAUUUGUACUACAUUCUGAAAACUUUGAACGUAGAAACAAGAUCCAUACUCAGAUAAUCCCUAAAUUAACCAAACAGUACCCAAGCGAGCCACAGGGUGGUGGCAAUAGCCAGAAGGAUUUGGGAUCAAAGAGGUGGCUCCAAACAGCACAACUAACUACUCCGGUUUUUCUCCCAAGAAUACAUAAUUGCGCAACUAAUCAUUAUAUAUAAGCAACAUAACUCAAGCUCAUUGGAAACUGCAAUUUGGCAUACUCAAAAUUUCAAGCUUCUAAAGUGUGUCCCAAUAAAAUUAAAAAAAAAAA